GCGCAGGGUGGAUGCCUUGGCACUAAGAGCCGAUGAAAGACGUGAUAAGCUGCGAAAAGCUUCGGGGAGGAGCAAAUAUCCAUUGAUCCGGAGAUAUCUGAAUGGGGAAACCCACUUGAGCAAACCUCAAGUAUCCAUACGCCAAUCCAUAACGUAUGGAAGGGAACCGGGGGAACUGAAACAUCUAAGUACCCCGAGGAGAAGAAAGAAACCUCGAUUUCCAAAGUAGCGGCGAGCGAAAUGGAAAGAGCCCAAACCGUGGUGCGUGCACCGCGGGGUUGUGGACUGCAUAAGGUACUCGAAUCAAUAGCCGAACAGUUUUGGGAAAUCUGAUCAGAGAGGGUGAAAAUCCCGUAGGCGAAAUUGAUGAGAGGCUGGCAGGAUCCAGAGUACCACGAGACACGGGAAACCUUGUGGGAAGCAGGAGGGACCACCCUCCAAGGCUAAAUACUCCUCAGUGACCGAUAGCGCAUAGUACUGUGAAGGAAAGGUGAAAAGGACCCCGGGAGGGGAGUGAAAGAGAACCUGAAACC
rnacentral:rRNA from 1 species